UACAGAGGGUGCGAGCGUUGUUCGGAAUUAUUGGGCGUAAAGGGCGCGUAGGCGGUGCGGUAAGUCACCUGUGAAAUCUCCUGGCUCAACUGGGAGCUUGCAGGCGAAACUGCCGUGCUGGAGUGUGGGAGAGGUGCGUGGAAUUCCUCGUGUAGCGGUGAAAUGCGUAGAUAUCAGGAGGAACACCUGUGGCGAAAGCGGCGCACUGGACCACAACUGACGCUGAGGCGCGAAAGCUAGGGGAGCAAACAGG
rnacentral:rRNA from 1 species